rnacentral:rRNA from 1 species
UUGAACGCUGGCGGCAGGCCUAACACAUGCAAGUCGAGCGGCAGCGCGGGGCAACCUGGCGGCGAGCGGCGGACGGGUGAGUAACGCGUAGGAAUCUACCCAGCAGCGGGGGAUAGCCCGGGGAAACUCGGAUUAAUACCGCAUACGCCCUAAGGGGGAAAGCAGGGGAUCGUAAGACCUUGCACUAUUGGAGGAGCCUGCGUUGGAUUAGCUAGUUGGUAGGGUAAAGGCCUACCAAGGCGACGAUCCAUAACUGGUCUGAGAGGAUGAUCAGUCACACCGGAACUGAGACACGGUCCGGACUCCUACGGGAGGCAGCAGUGGGGAAUAUUUGACAAUGGGGGCAACCCUGAUCCAGCCAUGCCGCGUGUGUGAAGAAGGCCUUCGGGUUGUAAAGCACUUUAAGUGGGGAGAAAGGUUCGCUGGCUAAUAUCCAGCGGAAUUGGUGCUACCCACAGAAUAAGCACCGGCUAACUCUGUGCCAGCCGCCGCCGUAA